rnacentral:rRNA from 1 species
GUGGGGAAUAUUGGACAAUGGGGGGAACCCUGAUCCAGCCAUGUCGCGUGUGUGAAGAAGGCCUUUUGGUUGUAAAGCACUUUAAGCGAGGAGGAGGCUACCGAGAUUAAUACUCUUGGAUAGUGGACGUUACUCGCAGAAUAAGCACCGGCUAACUCUGUGCCAGCAGCCGCGGUAAUACGUAGGGUGCAAGCGUUAAUCGGAUUUACUGGGCGUAAAGCGCGCGUAGGUGGCCAAUUAAGUCAAAUGUGAAAUCCCCGAGCUUAACUUGGGAAUUGCAUUGGAUACUGGUUGGCUAGAGUAUGGGAGAGGAUGGUAGAAUUCCAGGUGUAGCGGUGAAAUGCGUAGAGAUCUGGAGGAAUACCGAUGGCGAAGGCAGCCAUCUGGCCUAAUACUGACACUGAGGUGCGAAAGCAUGGGGAGCAAACAGGAUUAGAUACCCCGGUAGUCC